rnacentral:rRNA from 1 species
GACGAACGCUGGCGGCGUGCCUAAUACAUGCAAGUUGAGCGAUGAAGAUUGGUGCUUGCCCCAAUUUGAAGAGCAGCGAACGGGUGAGUAACGCGUGGGGAAUCUGCCUUUGAGCGGGGGACAACAUUUGGAAACGAAUGCUAAUACCGCAUAACAACUUUAAACAUAAGUUUUAAGUUUGAAAGAUGCAAUUGCAUCACUCAAAGAUGAUCCCGCGUUGUAUUAGCUAGUUGGUGAGGUAAAGGCUCACCAAGGCGAUGAUACAUAGCCGACCUGAGAGGGUGAUCGGCCACAUUGGGACUGAGACACGGCCCAAACUCCUACGGGAGGCAGCAGUAGGGAAUCUUCGGCAAUGGACGAAAGUCUGAACGAGCAACGCCGCGUGAGUGAAGAAGGGUUUCGGAUCGUAAAACUCUGUUGGUAGAGAAGAACGUUGGUGAGAGUGGAAAGCUCAUCAAGUGACGGUAACUACCCAGAAAGGGACGGCUAACUACGUG